GGACCUCUAGCUCAACUGGCAGAGCAGUUGACUCUUAAUCAAUCGGUUCUGGGUUCGAGUCCCAGGGGGUCCACCA
rnacentral:tRNA from 1 species